rnacentral:rRNA from 1 species
CCUACGGGAGGCUGCAGUGAGGAAUAUUGGUCAAUGGACGAGAGUCUGAACCAGCCAAGUAGCGUGAAGGAUGACUGCCCUAUGGGUUGUAAACUUCUUUUAUAUGGGAAUAAAACGUUCCACGUGUGGGAUUUUGUAUGUACCAUAUGAAUAAGGAUCGGCUAACUCCGUGCCAGCAGCCGCGGUAAUACGGAGGAUCCGAGCGUUAUCCGGAUUUAUUGGGUUUAAAGGGAGCGUAGGUGGAUGGUUAAGUCAGUUGUGAAAGUUUGCGGCUCAACCGUAAAAUUGCAGUUGAAACUGGCAGUCUUGAGUACAGUAGAGGUGGGCGGAAUUCGUGGUGUAGCGGUGAAAUGCUUAGAUAUCACGAGGAACUCCGAUUGCGAAGGCAGUUCACUGGACUGCAACUGACACUGAGGCUCGAAAGUGUGGGUAUCAAACAGGAUUAGAUACCCGAGUAGUC